CCUACGGGUGGCAGUAGUGAGGAAUAUUGGUCAAUGGACGAGAGUCUGAACCAGCCAAGUAGCGUGAAGGAUGACUGCCCUAUGGGUUGUAAACUUCUUUUAUAUGGGAAUAAAACGUUCCACGUGUGGGAUUUUGUAUGUACCAUAUGAAUAAGGAUCGGCUAACUCCGUGCCAGCAGCCGCGGUAAUACGGAGGAUCCGAGCGUUAUCCGGAUUUAUUGGGUUUAAAGGGAGCGUAGGUGGAUUGUUAAGUCAGUUGUGAAAGUUUGCGGCUCAACCGUAAAAUUGCAGUUGAAACUGGCAGUCUUGAGUACAGUAGAGGUGGGCGGAAUUCGUGGUGUAGCGGUGAAAUGCUUAGAUAGCACGAAGAACUCCGAUUGCGAAGGCAGCUUACUAAACUGCCACUGACAUUGAUGCUCGAAAGCGUGGGGAGCAAACAGGAUUAGAUACCCCAGUAGUC
rnacentral:rRNA from 1 species